AGAGAGAGAGAGAGAGAGAGAGAGAGAGAGUAGUAGGUGGUAGGAGGUAGUAGGAGUAGGUAGGGUAGGGGUAGGGAGGUACGUAGUACGACGACGUACGUAAGUAGUGGUCGUAGGUAGGUAACGUAACGUUACGUUACGUUACCGUUACCGGUUACGGGNNNNNNNNNNNNNNNNNNNNGUAACGUAACGUAACGUAACGUAACGAACCGAACGAACGAACGAACGAACGAACGAACGAACGAACGAAGAGAAGAGAGAGAGAGAGAGAGAGGGAGAGAGAGAGAGAGAGAGGUUAUGGGGUCAGGGAGUUAGAGGAUGAGUGGGGGAGGAGUCAUGACACUCGAAAUGUGCUGGUGAAUACUUGAUUCCACCUUGGUGGAGGCUCGAUUCCACUAAUCAUGGAUCCAUCAUAUGGGUGGGACAGAUCUAGAUCCUCAAUUUGGCAGAUCGAGAUCGCUAAAUUCAAAAAACAUCUGAAAUUGAUUUCCCGUAUCCCGAAGCACAGGAUCAAGCAUCCAGAGCAAGAGCAACCACCUUCCUUCUUACGAGACCCCGGGUACAAAAAUUCGGCCGCCCAGCCUCCUAGGCAGCCAUUUUCUCAAAUCGCCUAGGCGCCCACCCAGUACCACCCUUUUUAAGUACUCUCUCUAUGGCUUUAUGGUUUUGAACUUUUUUCUGCUUUUUAUUUUUUUUUGACAAGCAUGUGUUACUACUUUUAUUAAUCCUUGGUUUCAUGAGGGACCACCCACCAAUGGUUUAAUUCCAACACACCAAAAUAUUUCAGGCUUUGCUUUCAAGAAACCUAUACAUGGAAUAUCUCCUCCUUUAGUUGAUUAUAAUUUAUAGUCACCAUCAAUUUUCUCUUUCACUAUUUUUAACUUUUUUACUUUUACCACCCCGUCACUUUGCACAUGGAGCACUCUUGCAUUGCCACCUAAUCUACUCAUCAAUCAAUGCUUCAUUUUUGUCUCCCCUUGUGUUGCCAAGAUUAUGUUGUCCUUUUCCCAUGUCAAAACUCUCUCUCUCUCUCUCAUACAUAUAUAAAUAUGUCACAUAAAGAAACUUCCUGCCUCCUUUUGGUCCCCCAAAACAAAGUGCCGCCUAGGUAUCUGGGCGGCCACCUCCGCAUUCUUGAACAUUGGUUCAAAUAAUCUAUGUGACCUAUAAAUGGUGGUGUGCAUUCAUGCAACUUCCUAAAAUGAAGUCAAACAGGUCAUACAACAAAUUGGUAAAUAUUAAGUUAUUCUACACACAUAUUAAAAUGUUAUAGAUAUCGGCAAAGUUUGGAUUUCAACUAAUCACUUAAAGUACCCUAUGUAGAUAAUCAAACAACACUGAAUCGAUGUGUUUAAUCAAC
rnacentral:lncRNA from 1 species